CAAGUCGAACGGUAACGACACUAGCUUGCUAGUGGUCGACGAGUGGCGGACGGGUGAGUAACGCGUAGGAAUCUACCUAGUAGUGGGGGAUAGCCAAGGGAAACUUUGGGUAAUACCGCAUACGAUCUAAGGAUGAAAGGGGGCCUCUCUUUGAAGCUCUCGCUAUUAGAUGAGCCUGCGUAAGAUUAGCUUGUUGGUGGGGUAAUGGCCCACCAAGGCGACGAUCUUUAGCUGGUCUGAGAGGAUGAUCAGUCACACUGGAACUGAGACACGGUCCAGACUCCUACGGGAGGCAGCAGUCGGGAAUAUUGGACAAUGGG
rnacentral:rRNA from 1 species